CAAAAGGUUUCUUUAGAAACAACCAACAUAAAGAAAAAAUGAAAA
rnacentral:ncRNA from 1 species